AAAAGAGAACAGCAAUAUUUCAAAAAGUAUUUUAUAAUGUUUUAGGUGUUGAUACAGCUCUCUCCAUUGAGAGCUGUAGCAAGAAAUAUAUGUGCAUAGUUUGACAUUAGCUGGAGAUGUGGUCAUUAGAUUGUGUUCACCUGGACCAGUCUGAAAACGGAGUGGCAGAACAUCCAGAGGGCGACCGGUCAGCUGCAGCAGGGUGGCUGUGCCAUCGGACCAGCCAGCAGGGCCAGCCCACCAGGAUUGUGAAAUAUGAUGAUUCAAUCAAACACUGAGAUUUCAUAGUGCCAGCAGCUGACUUUGAAAAUUCAGGUUUGUUUUCUUAAAACUGGAUAAUAUUAACCCUGGUUAGGAAACUCCUGCUGGUUGACCUCAGUGCGCCCCACCGGUCUACUGUGCACACAGACUGAUGUUGCAAAACUUUGUUCUGGACAGCAGGUGUGGAUCUCACUGUUUGGAGUUCACUUGUCUCUGCAGGCAGACAGGCCUGUCAUUGCUUGGUUCUCAGGCUGUUUUGCUUUGUGUCGGGGGGCAACCCCUGUGGGAUUGCUGGGAGUAGUGCCACAUGCGGACUGGUGCAGUGCAGAGAUGUGCUGUGCCACUGUGCAUUCCUUUCCCAUCCUCUGUGCCAGUACUGGAGCAGUGUGAUUAGGGAAUAAGUGAGCUUUUUACCAAUCAGAAUUAGUCUCCAGCCUGCUCGUUCCUUCCAGGCAAUGUGUGAAAGGGAGGAGAAUUGAAUUUGGUGACUGUGAAUUUAGUUCAUGAUUCUUUCGAGAAGGGAACCUCUCUACUGCUAAUCUGUUAUGGUAUACAUGAGAAGAUGUCCCCCUGGAGACUUCAUUUACUGGCCUAUUUCUUGUAGGUUGUUUCAUUCAUGAGAUACUGAGCUUCCAAAAUGGCUUUUAAAACAAAGAGUGCUUAAUGUUGCAUAAUAAGCUGGAAGUCACUCAUGUCUGGGGCAUAGCUGGCAGUUCUGCCCUGACGCUGAAGCUAGAAAUCAUGACACUUCCAGUACCUGAAAAUCAUAAGUAUUUCCCAGCCAUAUGUGCAUAUUUGGCUAAUGAAUAACAUUCCUUAGGGUUAUUUAAAAGAAU
rnacentral:lncRNA from 1 species